rnacentral:sRNA from 1 species
UAACAUAAGGUGUGACGAUGCACGAUU